rnacentral:rRNA from 1 species
UAGCAUAUCAAUAAGCGGAGGAAAAGAAACCAACCGGGAUUGCCUCAGUAACGGCGAGUGAAGCGGCAAGAGCUCAAAUUUGAAAGCUGGCUCCUUCGGGGUCCGCAUUGUAAUUUGCAGAGGAUGCUUCGGGUGCGGCCCCUGUCUAAGUGCCCUGGAACGGGCCGUCAGAGAGGGUGAGAAUCCCGUCUGGGAUGGGGUGUCCGCGCCCGUGUGAAGCUCCUUCGACGAGUCGAGUUGUUUGGGAAUGCAGCUCUAAAUGGGUGGUAAAUUUCAUCUAAAGCUAAAUACUGGCCGGAGACCGAUAGCGCACAAGUAGAGUGAUCGAAAGAUGAAAAGCACUUUGAAAAGAGAGUUAAAAAGCACGUGAAAUUGUUGAAAGGGAAGCGCUUGCGACCAGACUCGCCUCCAGGGUUCAGCCGGCAUUCGUGCCGGUGUACUUCCCUGGGGGCGGGCCAGCGUCGGUUUGGGCGGCCGGUCAAAGGCUCCCGGAAUGUAGUGCCCUCCGGGGCACCUUAUAGCCGGGAGUGCAAUGCGGCCAGCCUGGACCGAGGAACGCGCUUCGGCACGGACGCUGGCAUAAUGGUCGUAAACGACCCGUCUUGAAACACGGACCAAGGAGUCUAACAUCUACGCGAGUGUUCGGGUGUCAAACCCGUACGCGCAGUGAAAGCGAACGGAGGUGGGAGCCCCCUCGUGGGGCGCACCAUCGACCGAUCCUGAUGUCUUCGGAUGGAUUUGAGUAAGAGCGUAAAUGUGGGGACCCGAAAGAUGGUGAACUAUGCCUGAAUAGGGCGAAGCCAGAGGAAACUCUGGUGGAGGCUCGCAGCGGUUCUGACGUGCAAAUCGAUCGUCAAAUUUGGGUAUAGGGGCGAAAGACUAAUCGAACCAUCUAGUAGCUGGUUCCUGCCGAAGUUC